AGAGUUUGAUCAUGGCUCAGGACGAACGCUGGCGGCGUGCCUAACACAUGCAAGUCGAACGGGGUCUGUGGGGGAGGGUACUUUCCUGCGGACUUAGUGGCGGACGGGUGAGUAACACGUGGAUAACCUACCUGUAAGACCGGGAUAACAGCGGGAAACUGCUGCUAAUACCGGAUAGACUAAUCCUGGGGCAUCCUGGGGUUAGGAAAGGGGGCUAACCGCUUACAGAUGGGUCCGCGGCCCAUUAGCUAGCUGGUGGGGUAACGGCCUACCAGGGCGACGAUGGGUAGCCGGCCUGAGAGGGUGGUCGGCCACACUGGGACUGAGACACGGCCCAGACUCCUACGGGAGGCAGCAGUGGGGAAUCUUGCGCAAUGGGCGGAAGCCUGACGCAGCGACGCCGCGUGGGUGAAGAAGGCCUUUGGGUCGUAAAGCCCUGUUGUACGGGACGAAGGGAGUGACGGUACCGUACGAGGAAGCCCCGGCUAACUACGUGCCAGCAGCCGCGGUAAAACGUAGGGGGCGAGCGUUGUCCGGAAUUACUGGGCGUAAAGGGCUCGUAGGCGGUUAUUCGAGUCACCUGUGAAAGCCGACGGCUCAACCGGAGGACUGCAGGUGAUACUGGAUGACUUGAGGGGAGGAGAGGAAGGUGGAAUUCCCGGUGUAGCGGUGAAAUGCGUAGAUAUCGGGAGGAACACCGGUGGCGAAGGCGGCCUUCUGGCCUCUACCUGACGCUGAGGAGCGAAAGCCAGGGGAGCGAACGGGAUUAGAUACCCUUGUAUUCCACGCCUUAAACGAUGAAUACUAGCUAUUGCAAGUGUCGACCCUUGCAGUGGCGAAGCUAACGCGUUAAGUAUUCCGCCUGGGAAGUACGGCCGCAAGGCUAAAACUCAAAGGAAUAGACGGGGACCUACACAAGCGGUGGAUCACGUGGCUUAAUUCGAUAAUAAGCGAGGAACCUUACCAGGGCUUGAAAGGUUAAUGAAAGCAUUUCGAAAGAUUUGCCUACCCACAAGGACAUUAACCCAGGUGCUGCAUGGUUGUCGUCAGCAGGUGGCUUGAGUUGCUCCCUUAAAUGGGGUAACCUGCGCAACCCUUGCUCUAUGUUUCAUGUGUCAUAGAGGACUGCCUGGGACAACCAGGAGGAAGGUGAGGAUGACGCCAAAUCAGCAUGGCCCUUUGAUGUCCUGGGCUGCACACGUGAUACAAUGGGAUUGACAACGGGAAGCGAAAGAGUAAUCUGGAGCAAAUCCUAUCAAACAAUUCCUCAAUUCGGAUUGAGGUCUGAAACUCGACCUCAUGAAGUCGGAAUCGCUAGUAACCGCAGAUCAGCCAUGCUGCGGUGAAUAUGUCCCUGGGUCUUGCACACACC
rnacentral:rRNA from 1 species